GUGAUGAUUAAUGAUGUCACAUAAUAUCAGGUCAUGUGAUGUGAGCUACAUUUUGUUUCAUCAAAAUGAACUUUUUGGUUCAUUGAAUGUCCCAGCGUCUCUUUGAUUCAUUCCCUCAGCGGACAGGUGGGAUCUAAAAAAGGAACAGGAGGUGAAAUCUAAAGAAGAGCCGUGAACAACAGAACAGAGGAGACAGGAAGCAGCACAGAGGACACAGACAGGAUGAGGCUGAAUGAACAGACCGACAACGAGAGAGAAGAAGAAAAGAUGAGAGACAAGUGUCAAUGCUGAGACCUCAAAGCAAACAGAGGAGUCCAUUUA